rnacentral:rRNA from 1 species
UUGCUGCUUCGCUGACGAGUGGCGGACGGGUGAGUAAUGUCUGGGAAACUGCCUGAUGGAGGGGGAUAACUACUGGAAACGGUGGCUAAUACCGCAUAACGUCGCAAGACCAAAGAGGGGGACCUUCGGGCCUCUUGCCAUCAGAUGUGCCCAGAUGGGAUUAGCUAGUUGGUGAGGUAACGGCUCACCAAGGCGACGAUCCCUAGCUGGUCUGAGAGGAUGACCAGCCACACUGGAACUGAGACACGGUCCAGACUCCUACGGGAGGCAGCAGUGGGGAAUAUUGCACAAUGGGCGCAAGCCUGAUGCAGCCAUGCCGCGUGUAUGAAGAAGGCCUUCGGGUUGUAAAGUACUUUCAGCGGGGAGG